rnacentral:lncRNA from 1 species
GUUUGAGGCACAGAGCUGUAUAUACAAUAACAGUGAAAUUGAUCCCACUACUAAUUAUGACAAAAAUGAUCUUCCACGUAAACAGGUGGUGAAGCUCCUUAUGGUCCUGACCCUACAGUUCCUGUCCCAUGACCAGGGCCAGAUCACCAAGGAGCUGCAGCAGUUCGUCGUCAGUGGCAGCCCCAUGCGAGCACCCGAGGAAGGGCUGUGACCGUCUAUGACAAGCCAGCAUCUUUCUUUCAAGAGACCUCUGGACCUGCAGCACCAACUCUUCAUGAAGCUGGGCGGCACGCACUCUCCGUUCAGGGCCUGAACCUGAGGACCCAGACACGGAGCGGUCGGCCUUCAUGGAGCGGGAUGCUGGGAGCGGGCUGGUGAUGCGCCUCCGCGAGCGGCCAGCCCUGCUGGUCAGCAGCACAGGCUGGACAGAGGACGAAGACUUCUCCAUCUGCUGGCAGCUUUAGAAAGUAGAGUUUGAACAACUGACUCUUGAUGGACACAACCUUCCUUCUCUCGUCUGUGUGAUAACAGGCAAAGGGCCUCCGAGGGAGUAUUACAGCCGCCUCAUCCACCAGAAGCAUUUCCAGCACAUCCAGGUCUGCACCCCUUGGCUGGAGGCCGAGGACUACCCCCGCUUCUAGGGUCGGUGGAUCUGGGUGUCUGUCUGCACACGUCCUGCAGUGGCCUGGACCUGCCCAUGAAGGUGGUGGACAUGUUCGGGUGCUGUUUGCCUGUGUGUGCCGUGAACUUCAAGUGGCAGGAGCAGAACCCGAAUCUUUCUGGGGAUAGCUUCACAGAUCCACCGCUGAGGAGGAAACAGUGCAGAGCGAGCUGCCCACAGUGAGGCCCUGCUCCUGGUUUACAUGAGCUGGUGAAACAUGAAGAAAAUGGCCUGGUCUUUGAGGACUCAGAGGAACUGGCAGCUCAGCUGCAGGUGCUUUUCUCAAACUUUCCUGAUCCUGCGGGCAAGCUAAACCAGUUCCGGAAGAACCUGCGGGAGUCGCAGCAGCUCCGAUGGGAUUAGAGCUGGGUGCAGACUGUGCUCCCUUUGGUUAUGGACACAUAACUCCUGGGCCAGAGGCUAAAACCCCGGGACCCCUGCUGUCCUUCCCACAGCUUCUUCUCAGAGUCUCAGGGCAAAUCCUUUCGAGCAGCGCCUCCCAGUGGCCAGAAGCUGAAAUGAUGGCAGUAGUGCCACCUGGUGAAUGAA